rnacentral:rRNA from 1 species
AAAAAAAAAGACUACAAGGAUUCCCGUAGUAACGGCGAGUGAACUGGGAAGAGUCCAGCGCUUAAUCGUUGUGCCACUGGCGCAAUGAGGUGUAGCGUAUAGGCUGCGAGUUUGUGUUGGUCGGUCCGUUCAAGUUUCCCUUGACUGGGGCUCCACAGAAGGUGCAAGACCUGUACAGCGGACGACGGAGCCAGCACAUCUUUGCGUGCCUUGGAGUCGGGUUGUUUGGGAUCGCAGCCCAAAGUGGGUGGUAAACUUCAUCUAAGACUGAAUAUGACUACGAGACCGAUAGCGAACAAGUACCGUGAGGGAAAGUUGAAAAGCACUUUGAAGAGAGAGUUAAAGAGGACGUGAAACCGAUGAGAUGGAAACGGACAGAGCUAGCGUAUCUAGCCUGCAUUCAGCUUGCGCGGUCGCUGCCGAUGAAUCGCUGAUCUCCAGAUUGGGACUGUUGACUAGUCGGUUUGGUGGCUGUGUAGUGCAUUUGCAGGUGGAGUGCGUCGAGGCAUCCGGGAUGGCUGCAUGAGCUCAGCUUUGAGGCCAGCUUGCUGGUACCCGGGCUGGGGGAUUGCUGUUCAUGCUGGGUGUUGCGUAGAUUGGCAAGGCUUUGCGGGCCCGGUUGGGUGCCGAGCUGGGUGCCGGUGGCGGUCGCAUGCGACACGUAUCGGCAAACUGUUCGGUCCUGGCUGCGGCUCACUCCAUGCCAAAUCUCGGCGUAAAAUCUGGUCAUCUUUCCGACCCGUCUUGAAACACGGACCAAGGAGUUUAUCGUGUGCGCGAGUCAUUGGGCGUUGAAAACCCAAAGGCGCAAUGAAAGUGAACGUAUCCGCUAGGAGCCAACGUGCGAUCCUGGUCACCGCGGUGGCCGGGCGCAGCAUGGCCCCAUCCCGACUGCUUGCAGUGGGGUGGAGGAAGAGCGUACGCGGUGAGACCCGAAAGAUGGUGAACUAUUCCUGAGCAGGAUGAAGCCAGAGGAAACUCUGGUGGAAGUCCGAAGCGAUUCUGACGUGCAAAUCGAUCGUCUGACUUGGGUAUAGGGGCGAAAGACUAAUCGAACAUCUAUACG